ACAAACUUGGUCAUUUAGAGGAAGUAAAAGUCGUAACAAGGUUUCCGUAGGUGAACCUGCGGAAGGAUCAUUACUAAAAAUCAAGCGCGGGGUGAAGGUUAAGACCCAACGCCGCGCUUUUUUUUAAACCAACUGUGAACCAAAAAACAUAAUGCUUCGGUAGCGGGUGCUGGUUCGACCGGUGAGAAUCGGUCCUUCGAGCGCCGUCAGCCUACCGGCAGCAAACCAAACCAAAACUUGCUAUAAACACACUUGUCUGAAACCAAUCAUUUUCGAAUGAAAAUUAAAACUUUCAACAACGGAUCUCUUGGUUCUCGCAUCGAUGAAGAACGCAGC
rnacentral:misc_RNA from 1 species